rnacentral:pre_miRNA from 1 species
CCGAAAAUACUUGUCAUCAAAAUGGAUAAAAAUAGAUGUAUCUAAAACUAAAAUACGUCUAGAUACAUUUCCUUUUAUCCAUUUUGAUGACAAGUAUUUCCGGACGGAGGGAGUAUUUG